rnacentral:lncRNA from 1 species
CUCAUGUCAAACACUUAAUGACUGUGAAGGUCAGCUCAUUUGCAUCAAUGGUAAAUGUAACGACGAUCCCGAGGUCGGGACUCACAUAUGUGGAGGAAACUCGAGUACCCCUUCCCCUCCAUCCCCCAGUACCUGCCAGCCCUCGGGAACUCUUGCGUGCAAGGGCGGAAAACCCAAAAAUACCUACACAUGCUCUCCUCCGGUCACCUCCUCCACGCCUGCCGUUCUAACUAACAAUAAUUUUGAAAAAGGAGGAGACGGUGGAGGCCCAUCCGCUUGCGACAACAAAUACCAUGACAAUUCAGAGCGCAUCGUAGCAUUGUCAACUGGGUGGUAUAAUGGGGGAUCCCGGUGUGGAAAGAUGAUCAGGAUAACGGCUCAAAAUGGGAGGAGCGUGUUGGCCAAAGUGGUGGAUGAGUGUGACUCCAUGCACGGCUGUGACAAAGAGCAUGCAGGUCAGCCCCCCUGUGAUAAUAACAUAGUUGAUGGAUCUAAUGCUGUGUGGAAUGCUUUGGGGCUGGAUAUCAAUAUUGGUGAAGUGGACGUUACUUGGUCCAUGGCUUAGGUAUAUGGUUGGUUGGUUACUCGGUUUUUGUGUGUACGUACGUACCCUCCUCUUUGUGUUCCCCUCUCUAUUUUGGUUUGUAUGGCUCCGCCAAGCACUAUUUUUAUGUAAUUUUGCAGCAAUAUAUGCAUGCACUGAAAUAAAACUGGAAGGCACUAGCCCAGUGCCACCAGAACCCCAUUAAGUGGUUUGAUUAAUGAAGAGUGAUUUGCGUCACGAUCUACUUGAACCAUCACAUUGAUUAUUAAUGCAACGCCUAAACUACAUCAACUUCCAAUGAGUAUUUUAUAUUAAUUUGACAUUGAGAUUCACCUUAUAUAUAGCAAUACUGAUCUUGGGAAAAUACAUAUUUUAAAAUUAAAAAGUUGUAAAAUCGAAAGAAACUUAAAAAGUAAAAAGAAAGAAAAGAAAAGAACAUAGAAGGUCUUAUCUAAUGGGUGGUACUAGAUCACUUUGAUGAGGUCGCAGUGAAGAAAUUAACAAGAUCCCCAGGAAAGAGAUGCUGUGCAAUAAGAAAUAUCAUCCUGGAACCCAAAUAUAAAAAGCCCCAUGGAGUUAUUGACGGGUACAUCAGUCAUAUAUAUACAUAUAUAAUACUUUGUCUUGAUCUAUACUUUUCAACAGUUUUUCUAUUAUUGUCUAUCCUAAUACAAGAUAAUUUAACUGAUAAAAGCCUAAGUGCCUUAUACCUAAACCAGAUUUCAUAUCUAUUUAUCUAUUAAAUAAUUUAAAAUAAAAUAAAAUAAUUAAAGUUAGAACACAAAUUAACUCUGAGAUAUGGAACUUAAAUGUUGAUUUUGUCACUUACUAGUCCAUAUUCAAAGUUGGGUUGUAGAAACCCAAUCUUGAUUAGUUGAAUUAAAAAUCAAUAAUUAGGGAAGAUAAAAAAAAACCAAUCAACACACAAAAUAAAAUAUUUUUAACAUGGAAAACUUUCAUGCAAUAUGAAGAAAUAAAAAGUCAGAAGUCAUAAACUUCAAAUCUACAUCUAUUAUAUGAGAAUACAAUACACACUUUUAUCUAGCAGAUUGCAUUUGAAUCUCAUCUUAGCGCUUAAAAUGAUGCAAAUCUCCUUCACAAUCCAACAAAGACAAACAUGAACACUUCCUUGAAAGCUUUAAGAAUAAGAAGACAAAUUACAUUUUCCAGCUAGAAAAACUAAGCCAAAAACCUUUUUGAGUAAGGUAUAUGUACGCCCACAGACUUAGUGGACCAAUUCUCAAAAAAUCCUCAUGCAAUUUAAAUCCUUUAAAAUUGGAAAGAGAAAACUUUAGAAUUCUAGAGGAUUCUAUGUCGAGUGCUCAAGCACCCUCAUAUAGGGAUGACAACGGGGUGGGUUCGGGACAGGUCGCCCCCAUCCCAACCCCACCCCGUUUAUUCGAAAUAAUUCUCAUUCCCAUCCCAUUUAAAAAAUUAAACGGGAUGGGACGGGCCGAGGCGAGUAUGAUAAAUUUUCAUACUUGUCCUGUUUAACUUUUUUUUUUUUUUAAUUUUUUUUAAAAAAAUUACUUUUAAAUUUUUAAUUAUAUUAAAAUAAAUAUAUUUUAUAAAUAAUUAAAUUAUUAUAUUUUUUAUAACUUAUUUUAUUAAAAAUAUUUUAUUAUUAUCUAUAUAUUAAAAAUAAUAAAAUAAAAAUUAAAUUAAAUUAAUUUUAAAUUAUAAAUUAAAUUAAAUUUAAAAAUUAAUUUUAUAUAUAAUCGGAGCAGGGCUGGGUGGAGUGGGGCAAUACCCGAACCAGUCCCGAGUUUUUAAAAAAAUUCUCAAACUCAUCACAAACCUAUUUAUUAAAAUUAAACUCCGUCCCAUUAGAGACGGGACGAGGCGGGUACCCGAAUAAACCCGCCCCAUUGCCAUCCCUACCCUCAGAGCAUUUGAGUGCUUCUCAAGCAUUGAAUCCAGGCUUCAAGGUUCAUGUAGUUUUUAAACCCUAAAAAAAAAUUCAUUUUGAUCAAUUUUAAAAACUCGAUGGAUGUCAUGCUACACCAACUACUAAUUUGUCUUUCUAAGACAUUUCUAUACUUACCAAACUCAAUCGAUGCCAUGUUAUACCAAAAUAUGUAUAUAUAAACCAUUUUAACAAGAUUUUAUUGAUUUUAGUUUUUAAAAAUAGUUUUUUAUUAACCAUAUUUUAGUAAAGGGAAAAAGAGAAAUUCUUAUUAGUAAAUGUUUUCUAAAACAAAUGGAACCCAAAACUCUAAAUGUGCUUUAGAAAUUUUUUGGAAAACCAAAACCUGUUUUCUAAAAGGUUGAAAGAAAGAUAAUAAACAAAAUCUUGUGAGAUCCUUCUAUAUGAAUAUCAUAAAUAUAAAUGAAAAUGAAAAUGAAUAAAAUUACACAAUAUAGCAUGACUUAUCUGUAUAUAUUUGAAAUAUAAUAUUCUUUUAUAAGUGUUAUUACAAUUUAAAGUUAUAUCAAGUAUAUAUAUUUUUUCAUAUUAGGUUAAUUCAUUUUAUUAUAUUUUAUAAAUAGAUUUAAACUUUUUCUUGCAUUAUUUUAAAAUAAAAUUAGAGUAAAGGAAAUGUAAAAUAUAUGAACAAAUUUAAUUUUAGUGUUUUUAUUUGAUUAAGAAAUAAACAAGAAAUAAAAUUUUAUACUUUUUAUUUUUAAAAACGAAUUUUCAUUUUGCUCAACCGAAAGCCUUUUCAAAGUGAUCAUUGUCAAGAGUAUGGGCAACCAAAGGCAGCUAGAGGUUUAGUUGUAGUGUGUAGCAUGUGCAAAGACUUUGAAUUCAAGCCAUAAACGUGCACUACCUCUCUCUCCCUUAGUUGCAUUUGUCAUGUUCUCUUGUGAUGAUCUCCUUUAGAUGCUUAGACCCUUUGGGUCACGUGAACUAGUGGCAAGAAAAAUGAAUUGAUUUCAUGAUGGAGAGUGUAGGGACCCCUCCCCUUGGGAAACACGUGGCACGCGGCUCAUGGUGACGCGUGGCACGUGCUGUCAGCCGGACCAUCAUCAUCCGGAUUCCCCUACAGAUACGUAUGGUGCGACUAUCCUAUCCGGAACCCCCCAAGGAAAGACAAACAACGUUUCAGCUUCUCCUAUCCAAGGAAGAGCAAACGACGCUGGCAGAACGUAGACACCCGGAUAGUCUCCACAAACACAUCCGGAUAUUCAGCAUGAUCCAUCCGGAUAUAAAUCGUCUGGAUGGUCAAUUAAAGUAAAGCGAGUCUUACACGCAAUCACAACAAGCAGCCAUGGCCCACAUCCCAUCACCUGCAGAAUGAGAAGACAAGAGGAAGUGACAGCAAGUCACUUCCCACGAUCAUUCUGCAUAAUCGCUUCCCACGAUCUCUGACAGCCGCAUCACCUACCAUGGUCUCUGACAGCCAUUCGUAGGAUGAUAGUGCUCCUACUAACACCUAUUGUCAUCAUCACAACAGAAAAUAUCUCCCCACCAUUAAUGAGAGGAACAGUACCCCUGAAGCUGUAUAUAUAUGACUUCACACGAAGAAGAAAGGGAUGAUCUCCCGGUAACCUCUUGACACCUAGUAAAAGGCCAACUGCCUCAUAUAUCUUAUUCUCUUAUCAUGGCUAACAACAUCAUCGGAGGGUGCAUCCGGACACCUUGUCCGGAUGCCUUUUUACAGGUACAACCACUGAAUCAAGAACCCCUUGUGUGUUGAGAAUCGCGUGUCCAUCCAUCUAGCAGCAACGCGGCCCACCUGAUACGCGAGGUGACAACAUUGGCGCCGUCUGUGGGAACCUUUUACUUUUUAUUUUGAUUCAGUCACUAGCAAAGAUGGCCACACCUUCCCAAAGUCGAUCAUCUGGUAGAGAGGAAGAAGAUAAUCACGAAUGGCGUCAAGCCAUCGAAAAAAGACAGUUGGCGAGCGAAAAACAGCUAAGAGCUCUCCUCCAGGAGACGGAGAGGUUAAGGGAAGAAAACGCUGUGUUACGCAUUCAAGCCUCAACAUCAAGACCUCCUCGUCGUCAGCGCUCAAAAGGUCAAGUGGCGAACUCAAGGCCAGAGCCAGAAUCAAUAUAUCCUGGGUCAACAGGAGCUGUCCCAGGAACAUACAACGCAAGGCCCCAUGAGCCACGCACACCCAUGCCUCGAGCUCCCCGUGAGGAAAGCUCAGAUUCCACUCAUUUCUCAGCAAAAAGACAACGUGAUAGAAAAUCACAGUUGUCAAGUUCUAUGCGCGCAAGACUAGACCCACAGGAGCCUGGGAGAUCAAGGCCACCAGUAGCCACAACUCGGGCGCCACGCCCCGAUCCUAUGAUUGCUCCCAUGGUGCAGAACGUACCUCCGCAUCGUGACCCCAUGGUCACCCCAGCGAUGCGGAACGUUCACUCACACCUAGCGGAACGAUCACUCACACCUAGCGGAACGACCAGCUGGGAGAAACCUCCCAAACGAGCCACCCAUUGGCUCCAUCAGCAAAAGGCUGGAUGACAUGCUCUCCACGCCCUUUUGCUCUCAUAUCACCCAUUACGAGCCCCCAAGAGGAUUUCUCGUACCAAAGUUUUCCACAUACGAUGGGACCAACGAUCCCUUCGAUCACAUCAUGCACUAUCGACAGCUUAUGACGCUCGAUAUUGGCAACGAUGCAUUAUUAUGCAAAGUAUUCCUUGCCAGCCUUCAAGGGCAGGCCCUUUCAUGGUUUCAUCGCCUACCUCCUAACUCUGUUGACAAUUUUAGGGACCUCUCUGAAGCAUUCGUGGGACAGUACUUAUGCUCUGCUCGACACAAGCAGAAUAUCAGCACCCUCCAGAACAUAAAAAUGAAAGACAACGAAUCCUUGAGGGAAUUUGUGAAACGAUUUGGCCAAGCCGUACUCCAAAUAGAGGUUUGCAGCAUGGACGCUGUCCUACAGAUCUUCAAAAGAAGCAUCUGUCCAGGCACCCCAUUUUUCGAAUCGCUGGCAAAAAAACCUCCUACAACGAUGGACGAUUUGUUCAGACGCGCUAACAAAUAUUCAAUGCUCGAAGAUGACGUACGUGCAGCCACUCAGCAAGUUUUGGUUGCCGGACGGGCUUCUAGAGAUAACGUGGACAGACAUGCCAAACCUCCGGACCGGCCAAAACCAAUUGACCGGAGGCAGGACGGGCCGAGUCGUCCGGAUAGGCCGUCCAUCACACCCCUAUCCAUAUCAUACGAAAAACUUCUCCCAAUGAUCCAAGGGUUGUCCGACUUCAGGUGGCCUAGACCCCUCGAAACGGACCCAUCUAUAAGAGACCGCAGCAAGAAAUGCGCCUUCCACAAAGACCAUGGUCAUACAACAAAGACAUGUCGGUCCCUCCAGUAUCUAGUUGAGAGGCUCAUCAAAGCAAGACAUUUAAAACAGUACCUCCCCUCAGAUACUGGAGGAAGGGACGCAUCACAGCAUCAUAACUCUGGGGCCCCGAGGGCCCCAGUCGCCCCCAAGGCUGUCAUAAACUAUAUCAACGGGGGCCCAUCUGACGAGGAAUACGAUUCCAGGCGGAAAAGACAGAAAUUGCUGCGAGCCGCGUCAAUACGCGAACGCAUUAAUUCCAUCCGGCCGGGUCUUACUGGGGAGGGCCCUCGCCCCAUUGAUGGGACAAUCAUUUUCCCACCAGUAGAUCCCACCCGAACGCUACAGCCACAUCGCGACGCCCUCAUCCUCUCUCUAGAAAUAGGAGAUUUUGAUGUAAGACGUAUCUUGGUUGAUCCAGGCAGUUCAGCCGAUCUAGUACAAGCAUCAGUCAUUGGCCAUAUGGGACAUAGUCCCGCGGGUCUCGAAAACCCCGGACGAAUCUUAUCCGGAUUCAACGGAUCAUCAACAACAUCCUUAGGAGACAUUAUACUGCCGAUUCGAGCUGGACCAGUCACUCUCAACGUGCAAUUCUCGGUGGUACAAGAGUUGUCACCCUUCAAUGUCAUCUUGGGACGCACAUGGCUUCACUACAUGAAAGCCAUCCCUUCCACAUAUCAUCAAAUGGUGAGUUUCCUCACCAACGAAGGGCAAACUGACUUGUAUGGCAGCCAGUUAGCCGCUCGCCAGUGCUACCAAAUAGCACGUGAAGCAGUCGCUAACCAGGAGGAUGCAUCUCCCCCUGAACCUAGCAUUGCGCACGACCAAUAGCAAUUAUUGGGUCCGGUGGACAAGGAUCCCCCGGUAGCAGAUCCCUUACAAACAAUCCAAAUCUCAGAAGAGAAUGAUCACCUCACAAACGUCAGUUCCCUCAUGACACAAGAAGAAACCCAGAGCAUACAAAAUAUCCUUCGAAGCAACCAUGACAUCUUCGCAUGGACACAUUCGGAUAUGAAGGGAAUUCAUCCCUCUAUCGCCUCUCACAAGCUUAACGUCCUUCCAGCAGCCAGACCCAUUCGACAGAAGAUUAGACGCUUUCACCCGGAUAGACAAAGAGUUAUCCAAGAUGAAAUUAACAAAUUGUUGGAAGCAGGAUUCAUCAGAGAGGUAUCUUAUCCGGAUUGGUUGGCAAAUGUAGUAGUGGUACCAAAGAAAGAGGGCAAAUGGCGAGUCUGUGUUGAUUACACCAAUCUCAAUAAUGCAUGCCCAAAAGACAGUUUUCCCUUACCACGGAUAGAUCAAAUUGUGGAUUCCACUUCCGGGCAAGGGAUGCUCUCUUUCUUGGAUGCCUUCUCCGGAUAUCACCAAAUUCCCAUGUCUCCGGAUGACGAAGAAAAAACAGCAUUCAUAACGCCACACGGCCUCUAUUGCUACAAAGUCAUGCCAUUCGGACUCAAAAACGCUGGCGCCACGUAUCAAAGAUUGAUGACUAAAAUCUUCAAACCUCUGAUAGGCCGCUCGGUCGAGGUAUACAUUGACGAUAUCGUGGUUAAAAGCAAAACUCGAGAGCAGCAUAUCCUCCAUCUACAAGAAGUAUUUUACCUCUUGCGAAAGUACGACAUGAAGCUAAAUCCUUCCAAAUGUGCCUUUGGCGUGAGUGCUGGCAAGUUUCUGGGAUUUAUGGUCAGCCAAAGAGGCAUAGAAGUCAGCCCGGAUCAAGUCAAAGCAGUCAUGGAGACACCUCCCCCCAGGAACAAAAAGGAGUUACAACGCCUCACAGGCAAGCUCGUUGCGUUAGGACGUUUUAUAGCCCGCUUCACUGAUGAGUUGCGACCCUUCUUCUUAGCGAUACGAAAAGCUGGAACCCAGGGAUGGACGGACAAUUGCCAAAACGCGUUGGAAAGAAUUAAACAUUGUCUUAUGCAUCCACCCAUCUUGAGCAGCCCCAUCCCAAAGGAAAAGCUAUAUAUGUAUUUAGCUGUCUCAGAAUGGGCAAUCAGCACCGCUCUAUUCCGCUGCCCUUCACCAAAGGAGCAGAAACCUGUCUACUAUGUCAGCAGGGCAUUGGCAGAUGUAGAAACCAGGUAUUCAAAAAUGGAGCUAACAGCCUUAGCUCUUCGAAGUGCUGCCCAAAAGCUCCGCCCCUAUUUUCAAGCCCACCCAGUGAUUGUACUGACCGAUCAACCCCUUCGCAGCAUUCUACACAAACCAGAUUUAACUGGGCGAAUGCUACAAUGGGCCAUCGAAUUGAGCGAAUUUGGAAUCGAAUUCCAACCCAGAUUAUCCAAAAAAGGCCAAGUAAUGGCCGACUUUGUGCUCGAAUAUUCACGAAGACCCAACCAGCACCACGAAUCAAGUGAACAGGAGUGGUGGACACUACGAGUUGACGGAGCCUCGCGCUCAUCAGGCUCUGGAGUUGGGCUCGUAUUACAGUCCCCAACUAGGGAACAUCUGGAGCAAACCAUCCGGUUGGGAUUCUCCGCGUCUAACAAUGAGGCAGAAUACGAGGCCAUCCUGUCCGGAUUGGACCUCGCCCUUGCUCUAUCUGUCUCCAAACUCCGGAUCUACAGCGACUCGCAACUAGUGGUAAGGCACAUCCAGAAAGAAUAUGAGGCUAAGGACUCACGCAUGGCGCGAUACUUGGCCAAAGUAAGAAGCACCUUACAGCAAUUCACCGAGUGGACAAUCGAAAAAAUUAAGCGAGCUGACAAUAGGCACGCUGACGCUUUGGCCGGCAUAGCUGCCUCUCUACCUAUCAAAGAAGCCAUUCUAUUGCCCAUAUAUGUGCAAGCCAAUCCCUCUGUCGCAGAAAAUUCCACUUGCAACACCAUUGAGGCAACCCAAACGGAUAAUCAAGAAUGGACGCAGGAUAUUGCAGAAUAUAUCCGGACAGGCACUUUACCCAAAGAUCUUAAACAAGCACACAAAAUCCGGGUGCAGGCUGCCCGCUUCACCCUGAUCGGGGGANNNNNNNNNNNNNNNNNNNNNNNNNNNNNNNNNNNNNNNNNNNNNNNNNNNNNNNNNNNNNNNNNNNNNNNNNNNNNNNNNNNNNNNNNNNNNNNNNNNNNNNNNNNNNNNNNNNNNNNNNNNNNNNNNNNNNNNNNNNNNNNNNNNNNNNNNNNNNNNNNNNNNNNNNNNNNNNNNNNNNNNNNNNNNNNNNNNNNNNNNNNNNNNNNNNNNNNNNNNNNNNNNNNNNNNNNNNNNNNNNNNNNNNNNNNNNNNNNNNNNNNNNNNNNNNNNNNNNNNNNNNNNNNNNNNNNNNNNNNNNNNNNNNNNNNNNNNNNNNNNNNNNNNNNNNNNNNNNNNNNNNNNNNNNNNNNNNNNNNNNNNNNNNNNNNNNNNNNNNNNNNNNNNGAGUCCGGACUGUAGAUCGCGCGUCAAACGCGGCUUCUUGAGGGGAGGCCCUUUCACCAGGACUAUAGCCAGGCGAUCCGGGUCGUCGGAAGGCUGACUUUGGCUUUCUGCUCCCGCUUCCUCCAACGGGGCCGUUUCAGCUGCAUCAGCAUCCGGAUUAAGGUUGCCCGGACGGUUGAUAGAUGCAGCUUCCUCAGCCACGUUAGCCAGACGCGCAGCCGCGACCAAGGAAGGACCUGAGUGAUUCAACCCCGACAUGCGUCCGGGGCCGCUUGAGAUAGAGUGCGGAGCAGCAUUUACUGGCUCCUCUAUCAUUACUUCCCCCUCAUAGGUAGUUUGGGGAGGAGGAAACUGCUUGGGAGGAGUGGGUUCCUUCAUGUCCUUCCCAUGCUUCUUCACCAGCUUCCCCCUUUUUCCUGAAGUUUUCUUUGGAGGAGAGUCCGGACCCCGCUUCUGUCCGGGAGCCUUCCGGAUAGUGCCUUCAGUUUUUUUCUGAUCUCUAUCCUCCAGGAGCUUUCGCCGCCUUUCAGCGUCAGCCUCUUUGGCUUCCUGACAGAGGGGGAGCUCCUUCACAGUAUAAUGCUCCCCAGGCACUAUCUCAUCCUUUGCCAAUUUCCUAGGAAGAAUAUUGAUAACAUAUUCCUGGGGCUCCCGGACGACCUCCGUCAAAUUCCGCGCGGAAAGCAAUGUUUUGUAGGCCCUCUCCUUGGGGUCUAUUUCAAAUAAUUUGCAGACGCAGGCAAAGGACGCCUUUUCCACCCAAUCCACAAGGUGGCCCCUCAAUUCCAAACCUGCAUUGUCAGCAACAAAGGGUGAGAAUUCUGUCCGGAAAAAUCAGAAAAAAUCAGCAAAGCAAAAUCCGAAUAAAAAAUCGCAAAACAAGAUUACCCGGGAUUUGUAAGGUAUAAUUCGGAGAAAAAGGCCUCGACGGAUGCUGCGAUAGCCCCGCCCAUCCACCCCAGACUGCCACCAGCCCCUUCGCCCCUCCCUUUGUCGAAUCUGGCAGUUCUGUCACCAUUUGAAGGGAGGGCAGGUGAGCGGACACACUGAAGAUAUCAUUCUUUGCUUUCUUCAGGGAAUAGACAAAGAACAAUUCCAGUAGCGUAAGGUCGAGGCUGUACAGCAUGUUGAUAAUGCUGCAUCCCAUCAGCACCCGGACAAGGUUGGGAUGAAUGAAGAUGGGUGGAAUCUGAGAGAAGUGGAGGAAUUCCUUGAACAAGGCUGGCAGAGGGAACCGGAGCCCCGCGUUGAAUUGUUCCUUUGUGAAGAGGAUAGCGUUUUUUCCACCUUUCUCAGUAGGAAUAGCCGCCUCCUCGUUCACCAGGUCUAUCAAUACGUCAUGGGGGAUGCGGAAUCGCUCCCGGAACUCCUUCGCAUUUANNNNNNNNNNNNNNNNNNNNNNNNNNNNNNNNNNNNNNNNNNNNNNNNNNNNNNNNNNNNNNNNNNNNNNNNNNNNNNNNNNNNNNNNNNNNNNNNNNNNAAUCUGGCAGUUCUGUCACCAUUUGAAGGGAGGGCAGGUGAGCGGACACACUGAAGAUAUCAUUCUUUGCUUUCUUCAGGGAAUAGACAAAGAACAAUUCCAGUAGCGUAAGGUCGAGGCUGUACAGCAUGUUGAUAAUGCUGCAUCCCAUCAGCACCCGGACAAGGUUGGGAUGAAUGAAGAUGGGUGGAAUCUGAGAGAAGUGGAGGAAUUCCUUGAACAAGGCUGGCAGAGGGAACCGGAGCCCCGCGUUGAAUUGUUCCUUUGUGAAGAGGAUAGCGUUUUUUCCACCUUUCUCAGUAGGAAUAGCCGCCUCCUCGUUCACCAGGUCUAUCAAUACGUCAUGGGGGAUGCGGAAUCGCUCCCGGAACUCCUUCGCAUUUAGUUUAUCUAUCGCCUUUUCGCCAGCCUCGCUGACCCGGACAGACGAAACAGUCUUUUUUGGAGUCAUUUCUUACCACAAAGCCAAAGCAAAAUCUACACGCAAAAACAAUGCAAACGGUCCAGACCAAGCAAUCAGAAAAUACACAAACUCAAAGCAGUCAGAAAAACCCCUCAAAAACCCCUCCAAACAAACAACAAAGUACCAACAUUAAACAAACAAUUGCAAGCGACUUGUUCAAAACAAAGCCAGGAACCAAGUUUAAAGAACCGGCAAACGCAACCAAAGGAAUGACAAUAGCAAAGAGGUACGUACCAAAUAGAGCUCUGGAGAAGAAAAACGGUUACUCUCUCGGUAUAAAAUCACCGGCAACAAACAAACGAGGUCGUUCGAAGUUUUUCUCAGAAAAGCAAAGGACGCAGAAAAAGUAAGAAGAAGGAAGGCUCUCAAGAGAAUGCAGUAGAAAAAAUACAAAAAGAGGUACAGUGCCCUAUUUAUAGCAGGACAGCCCCUCGGAAAGCCAAACCAACAGCCGUGUUAUCAUUGAAACGACAUAUUGCCUGGGGAUACACAGGGUCGGCGGCUCGCCAUAAAUGCCUUUUUUGGCUUUCGCACCCCCACUCGCCACGUGGCUAAGUUAGACGAAUGGACUUUUUCAAUUUUCAAAAACCCAGUUAUUUUUAACCCGCCCAUUUUUUGGCAAAAUAAGCAAGUUAAAAAGGGGGGCAAUGUAGGGACCCCUCCCCUUGGGAAACACGUGGCACGCGGCUCAUGGUGACGCGUGGCACGUGCUGUCAGCCGGACCAUCAUCAUCCGGAUUCCCCUACAGAUACGUAUGGUGCGACUAUCCUAUCCGGAACCCCCCAAGGAAAGACAAACAACGUUUCAGCUUCUCCUAUCCAAGGAAGAGCAAACGACGCUGGCAGAACGUAGACACCCGGAUAGUCUCCACAAACACAUCCGGAUAUUCAGCAUGAUCCAUCCGGAUAUAAAUCGUCUGGAUGGUCAAUUAAAGUAAAGCGAGUCUUACACGCAAUCACAACAAACAGCCAUGGCCCACAUCCCAUCACCUGCAGAAUGAGAAGACAAGAGGAAGUGACAGCAAGUCACUUCCCACGAUCAUUCUGCAUAAUCGCUUCCCACGAUCUCUGACAGCCGCAUCACCUACCAUGGUCUCUGACAGCCAUUCGUAGGAUGAUAGUGCUCCUACUAACACCUAUUGUCAUCAUCACAACAGAAAAUAUCUCCCCACCAUUAAUGAGAGGAACAGUACCCCUGAAGCUGUAUAUAUAUGACUUCACACGAAGAAGAAAGGGAUGAUCUCCCGGUAACCUCUUGACACCUAGUAAAAGGCCAACUGCCUCAUAUAUCUUAUUCUCUUACCAUGGCUAACAACAUCAUCGGAGGGUGCAUCCGGACACCCUGUCCGGAUGCCUUUUUGCAGGUACAACCACUGAAUCAAGAACCCCUUGUGUGUUGAGAAUCGCGUGUCCAUCCAUCUAGCAGCAACGCGGCCCACCUGAUACGCGAGGUGACAACAGAGAGGUCAUCAUGCUCAUCCUAGUGCCAAUUAACUCAAAACAACUAAGGAUAAUUCUAUGAUGGGGUAAUUAUCGAACAAGGUGAUAUUACAUGAUAAGAAAAAGGUUUAUUUGAUAUCUCAAUAUAAUUUGAUAUUUAGGUUGCUUAAAAAGAUUAAAAUGAGAUUGAAGAAUGAUCCGUCAUUUUCGAAUUGUGUGGCGGGUCGAGUGUGGGGAACAUCAUCCUAAGAGUAAAGCCACGCCAGAGAGAAGUCCCACUGGCACUGAAAUCAAGGCAACUAGAAGAAAAGGCUUCAGUUACGUCGUCAACCGAAAGAGUUGAAGUGAAGCCAUCCAGAUGAGGCAUUAACUGCAAAGAAAAAACAAAACAUGUGGCUGCUUAAUUUCUUGAUAUGGUGGAGCCGCAUGAGGGCAUGAGUUGAGUAUAUAAGUGGAUGCAAGCUUCAUUCCUUGACCAUUAAGCCUCUUUGGGUUACUGAAUACUGAGAGUAGAACCAAAUUGCAAUGGCAAAUUCACCUGUAGUGUGGUUAGCAUCCGUGUGGCUUGUGUCCAAUAUAUUGUCCCUUCCAUUCCUGGAAUUGGGUAUAUCUUCUUGUGGUGGCUCAUGUCAAACACUUAAUGACUGUGAAGGUCAGCUCAUGCAUCGAUGGUAAAUGUAACGACGAUCCCGAGGUCGGGACUCACAUAAAUGGAGGAAGUUCAAUUACCCCUCCACCUCCACCUCCCGGUACCUGCCAGCCCUCCGGAACUCUUGCGUGCAAUGGUGGAAAACCCAAAAAUACCUACACAUGCUCUCCUCCGGUCACCUCCUCCACGCCUGCCGUUCUAACUAACAAUAAUUUUGAAAAAGGAGGGGACGGUGGAGGCCCAUCCACUUGCGACAACAAAUACCAUGACAAUUCAGAGCGCAUCGUAGCAUUGUCAACUGGGUGGUAUAAUGGGGGAUCCCAGUGUGGAAAGAUGAUUAGGAUAACGACUCAAAAUGGGAGGAGCGUGUCACAGUGGUGGAUGAGUGUGACUCCAAAUCUUUAUGAUUAAUGUUUUCCGUGAUGCCCCAAUUACUAAUACAUGCAGUUACUUCGUCAACGCAACAUAUAUCAUGUGAACAUUACUAUACUAUCUGCCUACAAGAUACUGUUGGCAGUACGUACGUACCAACCAAUUAGUAUCUCUAGGAUUCUCAUAGUAUUAAUUAUCUAUUCCAAUCUACUCAUUUUCAUCGAAAUAACUAUAAUUAAAAUAUCUGCAAACAUUUUAGGAAAAUAGAUAUGCAUACCUAUGGGUCUUUUGGACUUAAAACUUACCACAGUACAGAUAUAUCAAAGCUUUGUCAAGUGUUGUGGUAGUAGAACAUAUAACUGUAAACCAAAGACUUUAUACGACUACUCGGAUACAUUUGUACAUGUCUAUGAAUUCACACACUUAUUGCCCUAUGGAUAUCCCAACUAUCAUGAGAAUUAAUUGUAGAGUACGUAGGUCUCAAUCUCUUAGGAUGGCCCCAGUUCCACACUCAUUCAGGUAAUUAUCAAAAAUUUUCCUGCCAACCAUCCUAACUUUAUAGCUUAUAGACUAAUUAAGACUUUCCACUCCGGCUCUAUAGCACUACAUGAAAGUCGUAAUGUAAAGACAUCCCAGAUGAAGUGUGGCACAAAUAAUGAGGAGGAAGAAAAAUCGUAAUGAACAGAAAGCCCAAUAACUAGCAGGGAAAGCCAAUGACUCCCAAGCACCACGUGUAUUAUGCGCACAAGCGGAAAUAAUUUGGAGAAAAUUUAGAUUUGCACGUGUAUCAUGUGUUGAAAGUCAAAAUUAUGUUUGGGUAAAGGACCAAUAUGACCCAAAAUCUAGAUUUGCACCCUUGACACUUUUAAAAUAGAACCCUACAUUUCAAACCUAUUAUAUAUAUACCAUUUGGAAAUAAAAUACCUAAAUAAAAGGGAUCCGAUGAUCAAAUGGCCCCUUUGUAAAUCAAUGAGAGAUGAAGAUGCUCAAAAAUCUUCAUAAAUAAUUGAAAUUUUUUGUUCCAUCAUUUCUAGAUACAAAAAUGGGUUUAUGGAUUUAAAGAGUGUUUUUCAAGGGGAAAGCCCCUUGACCUUAUUGCCUAUGGCCUCUUUUAUAAGCAUUCUUCCCAUGCAGAUGUAUUGUAAAUCUUGUGAAGGAGCAGACUUUUUCUAUAAGCUUUAACUUUUGGGUGAAUGAGGAUAAGAGCAGUUGAAUUUGUCUUUUCAAGCACAAGUUGGUCAAUCAUGUCAACUUGUAAGAAGAUCUUCCCUUUUUAUGAUCUUUAUUUUGGGGUAAGGUAAAUUUGUAUCUUUUCAAAUAAGUGUUGUAUGACUGCAAAUGAGACUUUUUAAAAACUAUAAGUUUUAGAGUAAACUUGUGUUGUUCAUUUGGAAUUAGGUUCUUUAAUCAAAUUGGGUGAAUGGUGCUACCUCUUUACUCGAGAUGGCCUCAGGGUUGGGUGGCUGAAGAUUAGUAUUUCAAGAUGGCUUGUUUAUUGUUCACUUCAAGAGACAAGAAAGAACUCAUUCCUACAAGGUUGCUUCGCCCUACCAAAGAAUUGUUGCUUCUUCAAUAAAUAUUCCUUCUCUGCGGGAAGGCUCCACUUUUAUAGUUCUUAAUUCAUGCAUCAUUAUUACAAAAGUUGCAGCCGAGGGAUUGUGUACAUAAACUAUGGUCUAUGAAGACAGCCAUAUCAAUGCCUUGAUAGUGUGAAAUUUAGCUUUCUUUCGAGUAAUUUAUUUCCCCCCCUUUUAUAGGUAGAGGGUGGAGCAAGAUAGGCGGAUGAUCAAAAAUCGACUAGUGCAAAUUGAAUUGAAAGGAGUCCAAUUGGGGUUGGCCCAGCAAUUUGAUUGUGUGGAACUCUACCAAGAAAUAGCACAUGAUAUAACGUCACAAAAGAGGAGAACGAUUAGUUCUGGAUUGAGUUAUCAUAAUUUCGUGCAGAGCCAAGUUUCAUCCACCCAUCACGCAUGCCCGGAAAAAAAACAAAAAAUCUGAGGAGCUACACUAAAUGCCUCCUCAAUAGAGCAGGUUGACCCGUAGCCAAUGCCCACAAGUUAAUGGCCAAGUUGAAGAAAUUAAAGGUGCCCCGCUAUGUGGACCAAUUGCAUUUAGCACUCAUUACUUCCUGAGCCAGACAACAGCUUGGAGUGGAUUCAGUAUCAAUAUAAGCAGCCUCUUCCUUAGGCCUCAUCCAAAACAUUCCAAACCGCUGGGCCAAUUUACCUUAUUGAAGGUGGCUCCAAUGGCAAAUUUAGCACUGUUGCUAGCAUCUCUGUGUCUUCUCUCCAACAUUUUCUCCCUCCCAUUCCUUGCAUUUGCUAUAUCCUCCUGUGGUGGCCCAUGUCAAACCCUUAACGACUGUGAGGGUCAGCUCAUAUGCGUCAGUGGUAAAUGUAAUGAUGAUCCAGACGUCGGGACUCACAUUUGUCAAACCCCAUCACCAUCCCCUCCAAGCGGCUCUAACUGUCAAGCCUCCGGCACUCUUACGUGCGGGGGAAUAUCCUAUCCCACCUACAGAUGCUCCCCUCGGGUUACAUCCUCCACACCUGCCAAACUCACAAACAAUGACUUUAGCGAAGGCGGGGACGGUGGAGGCGCGUCGGAGUGUGAUGAGCAGUACCAUAGCAACUCGGAGCGUAUUGUCGCCCUGUCAACCGGGUGGUACAAUGGCGGAUCGCGAUGUGGAAAGAUGAUCAGGAUUACGGCACAAAAUGGGAGGAGUGUGGUGGCCAAGGUGGUGGAUGAGUGUGACUCCAUGAGGGGGUGUGACCAAGAGCAUGCAUAC